CAGCAACGUCAGACUAAUGUAUAUAAGUUUAUUAUUGUCCAUCCCAAGCCAUUGCGCACUGAAUUUGGACACCUGGAUGACACAGAGUUAGAGGUAUCCAAUAUCCGACAUGUUUACCAUAAAGCAAGGUCUGUUCUGUGUAGUGCUGUUGCUGAUUUGUGCUGCAACUGUGAAUACAACGAGCACCACUGACGCCUCCACCAAUGUCACCACCACUGGAACAGGUGGUGACAGUGCAGGCUCUACAACGAUUGUAUCAACGACAGCAUGUGUACUUGCGGGUUUCAUGCAUCUAAUGACGGUGUAAACGACGCUUCACAACCACGACGUUGGAUUUCUUCUACCGAACUCUCUUGUUGUUAUUCCGUUUGAAGCUCAUUUACCCUGACUGUGAUUUAUUAACACUAUCUCUUAAUAGCAAAGCGAAUUGCUGUGAUGUUUUACAGAUGAUAUAUAUAGUAUGUGUGCUCUUGUAGUGUAACAAAAAAUAAAGCACAAUAAAAAUAAAAUCUAAAGAGACUAAUUUUUAAAAAGUGCAUUAAACCUUAAUUAUAUCAGCAGCAAUGAUAUCAAUGUUAUUGUAGUUUCACCAGUAAUGCUCCCUAUUGUAGUAAAAGUAAUAUUAACAUAGUUAAUAAAACAAAAUGCAUUUUGAGAUGUAAAUAAUUAUAAUACAGCACUAGUAGCAGUACUUGAGAAAUCUUCUUUCAGUGUAUUAUACAAAUUAUAAACAAAUUCUUCUAUGAGAAUCUUAAAGGGAAACGAUCUUCCAUUCUGUAAUUCGCCAAAGUGAGUUCAUGAAUGAACAAAAGGAAGCUGCCUUAACAUGGCCAUUUUUAUCGGGUAGUAAUAAUAAAAUAUAGUAAUAAUAAAAUAAACGAAGAUGAUGUGUGAAAAAAAACCCAUCUAUUAUGUACGUAUUUUAAUGUUUAUGAGAUAGAACCACCCUCUCUAAAUUGUGCUUAAACACCUGUUUGUAUCACAUGAUGACCUAUGUUCUGAAAUAAAGAUACAUUCAGACGAAA